AGGCUGUGUCUCCUCUUUGCACAUAAGACAGGGCUGUGACUGAAUACCAGAUGGGAAGAGGAUCAUAAGUUUCUGUUAUAUCUGGAUCUAGAUCAACAGGAGGACCUGUGGG